rnacentral:rRNA from 1 species
CGCAUGGUGGGGGUUGGAAAGAUUUUUCGGUCUGGGAUGGGCUCGCGGCCUAUCAGCUUGUUGGUGAGGUAAUGGCUCACCAAGGCGUCGACGGGUAGCCGGCCUGAGAGGGUGACCGGCCACACUGGGACUGAGACACGGCCCAGACUCCUACGGGAGGCAGCAGUGGGGAAUAUUGCACAAUGGGCGGAAGCCUGAUGCAGCAACGCCGCGUGAGGGAUGACGGCCUUCGGGUUGUAAACCUCUUUUAGCAGGGAAGAAGCGAGAGUGACGGUACCUGCAGAAAAAGCGCCGGCUAACUACGUGCCAGCAGCCGCGGUAAUACGUAGGGCGCAAGCGUUAUCCGGAAUUAUUGGGCGUAAAGAGCUCGUAGGCGGUUUGUCGCGUCUGCUGUGAAAUCCCGAGGCUCAACCUCGGGCCUGCAGUGGGUACGGGCAGACUAGAGUGCGGUAGGGGAGAUUGGAAUUCCUGGUGUAGCGGUGGAAUGCGCAGAUAUCAGGAGGAACACCGAUGGCGAAGGCAGAUCUCUGGGCCGUAACUGACGCUGAGGAGCGAAAGGGUGGGGAGCAAACAGGCUUAGAUACCCUGGUAGUCCACCCCG